UCAGACCAAACGCCGAGUCCUGCCCCUGGUCUGAACACCCUCCGACAAGCCGGGGCAGGAGCGGGGGACCCAGGUCUCACCGGGCAACGCCGGGACACCGGCCGCGUCCUCGGGGUGAAGCUGCCGCAAGGCGGCCGGGUGGCGUGAACCCUGCCCGAACCCGACAGCUGACCUCGCAGGCGUCAGGGAAGGACGC
rnacentral:sRNA from 2 species